GUAGACAACCACCAGCUAAUCUCUAUUGGCUUGGGAUUUUGUGGUUUAGAAAAUACUCAUCACCUGCAUUGUCCUAAUGAUUUAUGAUGAGUGGGAUCAUAAUUUGUGAGUGCUGGUGUCCUCUGCAGGAACACAGGCUUAACAUCUUGUUCAAGGGUACCAGUUGGUAAGCUCCAGAAUUUAAACCUAGGACAUGGAUUCUACUGCCUUACUCUGCUCUUCACGUCACACUGGAGCAGAAUAACUUGACUCAGGAUGGUUGGAGAAAGAGAGGUGGAAGAAGGCUGAGAAAAAUAGUGAAGAUGGAAGACUUUGUUUUGGGAUCUUUCAGAAUCUCUACUCUCAAGUGGUCCAUUUUCUUGGACUACUAUCCAGAGAUAAGAUGAGAAUAAAGCCUACUAGAUAUUUAAUGUAAUCACCAUGAUAAUGGCUAAGAUUUAUUAAGCAUCUGCUAUGUGCUUUAUGGUGCUAAGAACUUCUCAUGUAUUUACUCAUUGAAUCUUCACAAAAACCUUAUGAAGCAUCAGAGCUGAUGAAUACUCAGUCAGAAGAAAUGCAGGCCUGCAGGUUUGUCCACAAAGUGUUCCCAUCAACCGUACAAGUACUCUGAUGUUGGAGGCCAAGGGGGAGAUAAACGAGCAAGGGACGGCUCUCUCAAAUGUUACUGUCUAUAUGAAUCCACCUUGGGAUAUUAGUAAAAUGAGUUUCUGAUACAGAAGAUCUAGAAAGCGCCUGAAAUGCUGAUAUUCUGUCUCCCAGGGUGGAGGAGUUCAGCUAUUACCUUGACUUUGCCGAAGUCCUAGGCACUCCCAUGCCCUCAGAGUCUCAUUUUGAAUCCAGGCACUUAGGGAUGCUAUUUUUCCACAUCAAACAGCUUCCUCCCAGCCAAAGAAUUCUGGUGACAGUAGUGAAGAUAAUUUUCACUCCUGCUUACAGAAUGACAAAGCAAAAGCAAAGAGGAGAAGAAUGAAGUAAAGACAACCAAAGGAAAAGACUGAUGGCUCCUUAAGAAUGAUCUUGAUAAAGGAAUGGUGGCUGAGGGGUCCAUCUCCUAAACCACCCACCUUACUGACUCCCUAGAGCAAUGCCAUACAGAAAGCUGCACCUUGAGGGGAAGACACAAGAAUCCUGGAGUGGAAAAAAAUUGGGUAAUGAUGACAGCCUUCGAGGUCUUGAGAGUAAAGCAGAAGCAAAAAAAAAGUGUUAUUUUUAUCUUUUGAAGAUGGUUCCCUCUUAAGACUUUUGCGAAUGAUUAAGAUUUCAAUUAUGUUCCAGGAAAAAAAUAAGAUUUUUGCUUGACAAAAAAAAUUUUUGUCUAGAACAGGUGGGAAGGAAGAGAUAGUUUAGCCACAUCCAAGAGACCUGUAAAUUGGGUACAGUGAAGUGAAUGGUGUACCAGUCAUAAAAGAAUGUUAACUGGAGAAGUCUCUGCUGUCUUCCUGUAACUGAGGGGGGUGUAACCAUCCUUGUGGAAGCGUCCACUUUUAUUGAAGAUUGGCUAAAUAAAUCUGUGCCUACUGAAACUCAAG
rnacentral:lncRNA from 1 species